AUCUGUUCUCGCCCUUUAUGGUGUGAUCACCUGUUGUAUCUUUUCUUCUCAGUGUAAUAUCUCCUACGUCCCCUAUCUGGGGACCAUAUAUAUAUAAUGGAUUUUUCAAACGGGGUGAGUAAAAAAGAGCUAGUGCUGUCCACUUUACGCAUUGACCUACUCUACUGUGGAUCGCCGGUGUGUGUGAC